CCACAUACCUGUUUUACACAUAGGACCUGCUCAAAGGAACACACAAUGCUGUUUGAUAUUGACGCCAGCAGUCCUUUUGCAUCUGGAAUGACACUUGAAAAGGAGAAGAUGCAAGUCGGACGUGAACGGAGAGAAGACCUUUAGGGAGACUGCCAUGUCGCUUCUGGAAGAAGAUAAUCAUAAUAAUGCUUGCUGUUGCUCGGGUAUAAAACUGUACAACCUGAUCCAGUGUCAUCCUUCGUGUGAAU